UGGCCUUCUUGAGAUGAAAUAUUUCAGUUUGGAAAUGUAUUUUUUUUGCUAAAAUAUACCUCUGGAUAAGUAAUUUCUCUUCAAAAAUUACGAUGUCUAGAGAGAGAAAAUAACAAGAAGCUAGCACGUCUAAUUUUUAUCUUCCUGGCCGAAGAAUUCGCGUUGUUUGUCAUGUCUCACGGCUUGCUUGCACUGGCAGUCUGACAGCCCUGUCACUGUGAAGGUAAUUGAAAAACUACAAUAUAUUAUUAUUUAUAUUAUCAUUUGACAUAUAAUGGCCCUAUGACUGGGCUAAUAUGCCUACAAAGUAUUUUUUUAAAGCGCUGAGUUUUGAGAAAUUAUAUUUUGAUAAUGAAAAUUUACUAGUGGGCCAUAUAAAACUCAUCACUAAAUUAUCCAUUUUAAUAUUUUUAUACUGUGAACGUUGCACUUGUUCAAGUUAUUUUGACUAAAAAUUAUCGCAUGUUUAUACAUAUUCUGGUAUAUAAUAAUAUUGUAAUUUGUAGUUUAUUCCCUUGGAGCAUGCAAAGUGCUUACAUGUGGAAUAAUUUUCCUUAGAUCCACAGCUCUCACAUAGGAGAUUAGAACUCCCUUUCCUUUUGCACAUCCUACUAAUACGUGUUACUAUUAUAAAAGUGCAUUUCCCCAUCCCCUUUCAGACAGCAGAAAUUUCAUUUGUACUACGAGUUUAUAUUGUGCACUGAAUGGUGAAUCAGUAAAACUAAAAGAUUGCCAACCAGUUUAGAGAUAGUUUUGUUCAAACGUAACCUAUGUAAGUGGUUUCUGCCUCAAUUAGAAAUAAAUAUACUGUUAAUAAAUUAAUUGGAUAGAUUUAGUGUAACAUAUAGAUUUAGGUUUCCAGUUUGUGAAAUGAAAUGCAAAUCAAUUGUAUUAUAUUUUAGAUAUUCAUGCUUCUCAAACAUCAAUACGGAUAAAACAAGGACUGUCAAGAAGACUGCAACUGUAUAUGUACAACUUAAUGGGGAUGCUGUUAGUCUUCACAUCUAGGAAUGUUGCUAAUAUGAGGUUAUUAAGCUGGGAAACCGCAAAGUCAACAACUAUCCUAGAUUCCAUAAUAUUAGGAAGCUGGCUCAACUAUACUUAUUAAUAUUCUGGUAAUACUCAAGAAAGUGACAUGGUAAUUGAACAAUGCAUAUACAACAGAAAGAGAUAUUUCCAUACCAAGACAAUUUUUACUGAAUUAGUAUUUAACUGAUAUUUCAUUUUUUACAAUAUUUAAAGUUAUAUACAGUGCUGUUUUAAGUUAAAUAAAGGUUACUCGGUUCAAAAUCUGGUCUUUGUUUUUCCUUCUGUGUACUGUGCAAAGGUAGAGAAAAGAGCUGGUAAUACGCAUCCUAACAUGUGGCUGAUAGGAGCUCUCACUCAUAUCGAAAAUGAAUUCUCAGUCAUUUCAAAAAGUAAGCCUUGGAGCUCUUUGGAAAUCGAUUUCAUUGAUGAUUCAACAACUGCUCUCCUGCAUGUACAUCAUUGCAAAAUGUGCAGCCAGCCUGCAAUGUCGAAACCACAGUUGUCCACAACAUUUGUUCUCAUUGAGCUGUCCAUUUACGAGGAAGUGCAGUGUGGAGACAAACAAUUUUGAUUUGGCUGCAUUUAUUUGAACACUUGCUUUAUUAUACCUCCCUUACUGAUUCACUAGCUGCUAAUGUAAAUUUGUACUAGCUUUGCAGGACAGAUGUGUUCAAUUUUUCCUAUACGGUAUAGAAUAAAGAUCAUGCUGUUAGUGUUACAUGCAUGCAAAUGGUAAUUCACAAUGAUGUAAAGGC